CCACGAUGAAACCGACCAAGAAGAACAGGACACUGAAGUACAGGACCAUGAAGUACAUGAUAUUGGAGUACGAGACACGGAAGUACAGGGCAAUGAAGUACGUGAUACUGAACAAGAGAAUUUAGCAACGACUGAAUUGGUGCCAAACUCCGGGGUGCUCAUAGCGCCGAAUAUCCUGCGCGGGAUAACGCAAAAACACCGAAAGGAUGCACGUAAAAUGGCAGGGGCCUUGAUUAAGGCACUUAUCGUCAGAGACGAUUUGAAGAGAAUGUGCGCAAUGGGGAGUAAAGAAUAUUUGCCCAUACCACCGGAAAUAAGAAAAGCAGUUGAAAAGUACGUUUAUCAAACCGUCGAAAGCGAGAAUCAGCUGACGCACGAAGAAUUUAAGCGCUGCCUAACACGACUGUGUUCCAAUUUGCGAACGCGGAAAUAAAAAAAAAA